rnacentral:rRNA from 1 species
GACGAACGCUGGCGGCGUGCUUAACACAUGCAAGUCGAACGGAAAGGCCCUGCUUUUGUGGGGUGCUCGAGUGGCGAACGGGUGGGUAACACGUGAGUAACCUGCCCUUGACUUUGGGAUAACUUCAGGAAACUGGGGCUAAUACCGGAUAGGAGCUCCUGCUGCAUGGUGGGGGUUGGAAAGUUUCGGCGGUUGGGGAUGGACUCGCGGCUUAUCAGCUUGUUGGUGGGGUAGUGGCUUACCAAGGCUUUGACGGGUAGCCGGCCUGAGAGGGUGACCGGCCACAUUGGGACUGAGAUACGGCCCAGACUCCUACGGGGGGCAGCGGUGGAGAAUAUUGCACAAUGGGCGGAAGCCUGAUGCAGCAACGCCGCGUGCGGGAUGACGGCCUUCGGGUUGUAAACCGCUUUCGCCUAUGACGAAGCGUGAGUGACGGUAAUGGGUAAAGAAGCACCGGCUAACUACGUG